CAUUGGUUUUGUUAUUCAUGAGCACUUUUCUCUUUUCUUUUCCUUCUGCAAAUUGGUGAGUGAAAAAAUUGACCAAAAUAAUUCCAAUUAAACAGUCAAAUUCAAAAAAAAUAAUUACUUACCUUCUGGACAAAGUACAGAUUACCAAGGUUCCCUUUUUCCGAGAACCCCGGAGGAUCAAGACAAAGAAAAAUUCAAAUAAUGCUUUAAUGGCAUAAAGGCAAAUUUUGGAAAUGAAGUAGGACAAACAAUUUAACAACCAAAUGCAUGCAUUCAUAAUUUCAUGAAAGUAUGCAUACGGAUCAUAGCUACACAGUUGAAUACAUUAAAAAAAGCAAAGAUAAAAGGUUCACUGCCAAAUUAGAGUCCGCAGUAAAGAGCAGUUUCAACACAAUUCACAAUAAAAAUUCAAGGACAGUCACUCUUUGAUUUAUCCAGGUUACAAGCGCAAUGGUCAAUAAUUACAUUUAUAAAUGCAUUAACCAAUGAUCCCGGAUUAUCUAUUCAAUAUAAUUAUUUACAUUAUUUUACUUCGAUUCUCACCUGAAUUACACAAUACAACAUCUCAGCACCAAGCCCUUUUGGUCAAUCCUUCCAUCUUCGUUACCUAGAAGUGAUCAUUUAGCUUUUCUUAAGAUUCAUAAGAAAAAUGUAAACACAACGACCAGCAUACUAUUUCCAACAAGGUUAUGUCACCAUAGCUAAAAACCUAGUCAGCACAGGCUAAAAGAGAACAGAUUAAAUUGAUCCAGUCAAUGCAAUUUCUAGUACACUACCAUUCAAUGAUACAUUGGCAUAUUACAAAAAAGUUUAACCUAAGUUUAAUUAUCUAGGUUUUGAACUAUGUCUGGAGUGCACUUGGCUUAC
rnacentral:lncRNA from 1 species